GUUGUUCGGAAUUACUGGGCGUAAAGAGUACGUAGGCGGUGAUUCAAGUCAGAGGUGAAAGCCUGGAGCUCAACUCCAGAACUGCCUUUGAAACUAGAUCGCUAGAAUUGUGGAGAGGUUAGUGGAAUUCCGAGUGUAGAGGUGAAAUUCGUAGAUAUUCGGAAGAACACCAGUGGCGAAGGCGACUAACUGGACACAUAUUGACGCUGAGGUACGAAAGCGUGGGGAGCAAACAGGAUUAGAUACCCUGGUAGUCCACGCCGUAAACGAUGAUAACUAGCUGUUCGGGGUCUACGAUCCUGAGUGGCGCAGCUAACGCAUUAAGUUAUCCGCCUGGGGAGUACGGUCGCAAGAUUAAAACUCAAAGGAAUUGACGGGGGCCUGCACAAGCGGGGAGCAUG
rnacentral:rRNA from 1 species